AGCAACAAAAGGAGAAAACUCAAAGAAAGAGGAAGAGAUUUUGGGGAAAAUUCAAAUUUAAUCUAUGACAAUCUUCAAGAAUCCAAUCAAAAAGGAUAAUCUUGCUCAGGAUGAACAAAAGCUCAAGUUUGUAAAAAUCAUCUAAAGAAUUAUAACAAGACAAAAGGAAGUGAAAAUGGACUAAAAGUAUACAAAAUUGUGACAUGU